UAGGAGACCAUCCUGAAGUCUCGUAUUUCAGGGUCUCAUAGGUCAAUCCCGCAAGCAACUCGGCUUCCGAUUCCCUCCAGUUUUCAGGGUUCGUCCCUGGGCGCUAUCUGACAAUUUAUAGUUCAAGAAGACGACGAGCAAGAAACGUCGCAGCUCGGCUGAGGCCCGUGGGGGCAGGCUGGGAUGCGAACGCGCUGUGGAUGUUGAGUGCGAGGUGACGAAAGGAACCUCGGACUUCAAACCAAACACCACGCGGGUUUAACGGUGCCUGGCCGCGCUGAUUGCGCUGGACCUUCGGGUCUGGUGAGGUCGGCGUGCGCGCAA
rnacentral:misc_RNA from 1 species